CUCCGGAUGGGAUGUUCGCCAGACUAAAUGUUCCUCCGUAUGUUUGGCACCGACUUUUAAUUUGUUGAUCAUCGGUUGAUAAUGCCUCACAAAAUACUGUCAAUCCAAAUGAAUGUAUAUGGUUAUUGUGUAUAUACCAUGCAGGGUUAAAUAUACAUAAUAUUGUUAAAAUUGUUAUAACAAUUGUCAACAAUAUCCAUAUGAAAUACACAAGUUUGUUCAUUUUAUAUAGAUCGCAUGUUUAUUAUAUCUUCACCAUUU
rnacentral:lncRNA from 1 species